rnacentral:rRNA from 1 species
ACGAACGCUGGCGGCGUGCCUAAUCCAUGCAAGUCGAACGCUUCUUUCCUCCCGAGUGCUUGCACUCAAUUGGAAAGAGGAGUGGCGGACGGGUGAGUAACACGUGGGUAACCUACCCAUCAGAGGGGGAUAACACUUGGAAACAGGUGCUAAUACCGCAUAACAGUUUAUGCCGCAUGGCAUAAGAGUGAAAGGCGCUUUCGGGUGUCGUUGAUGGAUGGACCCGCGGUGCAUUAGCUAGUUGGUGAGGUAACGGCUCACCAAGGCCACGAUGCAUAGCCGGCCUGAGAGGGUGAUCGGCCACACUGGGACUGAGACACGGCCCAGACUCCUACGGGAGGCAGCAGUAGGGAAUCUUCGGCAAUGGACGAAAGUCUGACCGAGCAACGCCGCGUGAGUGAAGAAGGUUUUCGGAUCGUAAAACUCUGUUGUUAGAGAAGAACAAGGACGUUAGUAACUGAACGUCCCCUGACGGUAUCUAACCAGAAAGCCACGGCUAACUACGUG